AUUGAACGCUGGCGGCAGGCCUAACACAUGCAAGUCGAGCGGAUGAAGGGAGCUUGCUCCUGGAUUCAGCGGCGGACGGGUGAGUAAUGCCUAGGAAUCUGCCUGGUAGUGGGGUAUAACGUCCUGAAACGGGCGCUAAUACCGCAUACGUCCUGAUGGAGAAAGUGGGGGAUCUUCGGACCUCACGCUAUCAGAUGAGCCUAGGUCGGAUUAGCUAGUUGGUGGGGUAAAGGCCUACCAAGGCGACGAUCCGUAACUGGUCUGAGAGGAUGAUCAGUCACACUGGAACUGAGCCACGGUCCAGACUCCUACGGGAGGCAGCAGUGGGGAAUAUUGGACAAUGGGCGAAAGCCUGAUCCAGCCAUGCCGCGUGUGUGAAGAAGGUCUUCGGAUUGUAAAGCACUUUAAGUUGGGAGGAAGGGCAGUAAGUUAAUACCUUGCUGUUUUGACGUUACCAACAGAAUAAGCACCGGCUAACUUCGUG
rnacentral:rRNA from 1 species